rnacentral:misc_RNA from 1 species
AAAGUCGUAACAAGGUUUCCGUAGGUGAACCUGCGGAAGGAUCAUUAACAAAAAAGUAUAUGGAAGGGAAGUAGAGAAAGAAAAGGAGAAAUAAUAUAUAUACAUAUUUUUCCCUUUUUUUUCCUCUCUUCCUUUUUCGACACAUUGUGCACAAAAACAUAUUAAUACUAUAUAUUUAUAUUAUAACUAUAACAAAAAAUACAACUUUUAACAAUGGAUCUCUUGGCUCUU